rnacentral:rRNA from 1 species
GGCCCGCACAAGCGGUGGAGUAUGUGGUUUAAUUCGACGCAACGCGCAGAACCUUACCCAGUCUUGACAUCCUACGAAUCUGAUAGAAGUAUCGGAGUGCCUCCGCAAGGAGGAAUGUAGUGACAGGUGCUGCAUGGCUGUCGUCAGCUCGUGUCGUGAGAUGUUCGGUUAAGUCCGGUAACGAGCGCAACCCCUAUCCUUAGUUACAAAAUGGACUCUAAGGAGACUGCCGGUGUCAAACCGGAGGAAGGUGGGGACGACGUCAAGUCCUCAUGGCCCUUACGACUGGGGCUACACACGUACUACAAUGGCAACUACAAUGGGCAGCGAAAUCGCGAGAUGGAGCUAAUCCCCAAAGUUGCCUCAGUUCGGAUUGGAGUCUGCAACUCGACUCCAUGAAGUCGGAAUCGCUAGUAA